CGAAACCGGGGAGUCUUGAGUGCAAGCCCUGCCCCUUUAAAAGUGAAACCUAGGCGGUUGGCUAUUCCGUGUCCAGUCAGCAAUCCCACGCCAAAGCAUCACGGGUUUGCACGAGUCUCUUUGUCACAUCUGACAACAUAGAUGCUGCGGGAAGCCAGGACAGUCUGAACGACAGCGUGAGACUCUGUGUCUGGAAGAUGGGGACUGCAGGGAAGACUGAAACGCUGCAUACAAUCACGGAAAACACUUGUAGCCACAAAUCUAAUUUCAAGAUACGAAAUUAAGAUGAUGGAUAAUUGCAAAAGCAAGGAUUAUUGGAUGUGAAUGCAACAGAACUGUACAAAGAAACAUUGGAAGAUGGCUGGGUGGAGUGACCAUAUCUCACUAGCACAAACUCUGAAAAAAAAAAAGUAAAUAUAAUGUAAUUAUUUUCUGCCCAUGAGGUAAUAUGAUACCACUUGACGCUUGACUGCAACAGGCUAAGACAGGAAGCAGAGCUUGAUGACACUCUGCAGUCCUAACUGCUCCAGUGUCUACAGCAAGAGAGUGGCAUAAGCCUCAAAGUUCGGCCUGAAGCCUGGACAAUAGAGUAAGACCCCAUCUUAAGAAGUAAGUUUAGUAUAAACUCUCCAAACCACUAGAGAAUUUCAACUAAUGGAGUAAUAUGGUGACAAGGGGGAAAAAUCAUCCCAAAGAAGAAAGAACAAAUGAAAAAAAUAAAAGACAAUAAGAUAACAUAUAUACACCUAAUUAGUGUAAAUAUACUAAUCUGCAAUAAAAUGCAGAGAAUGUCUAGAUUUGGAAGCAAGGGCCCUUUCUUCUCUACAGCUGCGAAAAUGGCUUUGCCUUCAAAAAACAACCAGUUCAGAAAAUCCAAGGUGAUGGCCAUAGGGACACUGAAAAGCACAAGACAGGCUCAGCACCCCUUCUUGACUCCCAUAAUGGACUGUCUCCAGACUAGAGACAGAAAGACCUGGGCUUGGUACAUAAAAUGUAAACAAGCAAAAAAUCAAAACCUAUAAUCAGCCUCACACAUAGUGAAAGACUACUACUUGCCCCUAAAAUGAGAAGCUAGAUUCUCAUGUUCAGUCUUUACUUCUGCUUAUUCCUUCACCUGUGGCCCUCACUCCGAGCAGUAAUCCCAGGGGCUAUCCAAGGGAGGUAUGCUGGCACACACCUGUGAGCUCUUGCUGAGACAAGAGGAUUAGGAGUGUGAGGUCGACUUGAGCUACAUAGUGAGGCCUUAUCACAAAAAAAGGAAAAAAAGGAGAAGUUUAGAUUGGAGGGGAGAAGUAGAAUGUUCCCUGUUUGUAAAGGACAUGCCAACUGUGUAGACACUUCUGUGUCCACUAUGACUUGUAUGUUCUUGGCAAGAUAAAAGACCACAAUGUGAAGAUCCAUCACAGCAGGAACUACAAAAAGCUGACUGACACCAUGGAAUGGGCACCACCAUUUUGGAAAUGUUUCACAGGUUCUUGAAGAAUUCGGCCUGUAUCUGAUACAUGCUCUGGCCCACCCACCACCAACAGAAAGGAAGGCCCACAAAAGAUAUCUGUGUAGAUGUUCGCAGCAGCGUUAUUUCCAACUGAGCCAGGCAGUGUUUGGAAGGGGAAUCCGUGUGAAGGCCCUGAGAGGGCAAGAGGCCGUGAGAGGCCAUUGCAUGAAACUGAUGGUGAAACUGGGUUGCAAUGAACACUCCAGAAUGUUGGAGAUGCUAAGCAACGAUGCAUCUGUCAAGGACAGUCAGGGAUUGGAACCAUCCCCAAGAGAGAUGUAAGUUGGAGGCAGCAAAACUGAAGGAGCUGAGCCAUCUAAGCCCUUUAAAACUGAAUUCCUAGGCACCAGACACAGAACUUUAGGAUUUAGGGUUUUCCUUAUUGGGCUCCAGUCUUGCUUUCAUCCAGUAUUUCCCACCACACCCCCAUUCCUCCCCUUUGGAGUGGUAAUGUAUAUUCUAUGUCCUUGUACAUCGUUAUGUACAUACCUAUGUGUAUAUAAUAUAAAACUACCUUUUGA